rnacentral:rRNA from 1 species
AAGUGUGGGGAGCAAACAGGAUUAGAUACCCUGGUAGUCCACACCAUAAACUAUGGACACUAGAUAUGGGGAGUAUCGACCCUCUCCGUGUCGUAGCUAACGCGUUAAGUGUCCCGCCUGGGGAGUACGGCCGCAAGGCUAAAACUCAAAGGAAUUGACGGGGGCCCGCACAAGCAGCGGAGCGUGUGGUUUAAUUCGAUGCAAAACGAAGAACCUUACCAAGGCUUGACAUGCUGGAAGUAGUGAACCGAAAGGGGAUCGACCUGUUAAGUCAGGAGCCAGCACAGGUGCUACAUGGCUGUCGUCAGCUCGUGCCGUGAGGUGUUUGGUUAAGUCCUGCAACGAGCGCAACCCUUAUUGCUAGUUGUCUUUUCUAGCGAGACUGCCCCGCAAAACAGGGAGGAAGGUGGGGAUGACGUCAAGUCAGCACGGCCCUUAUGCCUUGGGCUACACACACGCUACAAUGGGUGGUACAGUAGGUUGCAAUGGAGCGAUCCGGAGCUAAUCCCUAAAGCCAUCCUCAGUUCAGAUUGCAGGCUGAAACUCGCCUGCAUGAAGUCGGAGUUGCUAGUAAACGCGUAUCAGCAUGGCGCGUUGAAUACGUUCUCGGGCCUUGUACACACCGCCCGUCACGUCAUGAAAGUCGGCAACACCUGAAGUCGAUGGGCUAACCCCGACUUGUCGGGGGGGCAGUCGCCGAGGGUGGGGCUGGUGAUUGGGACGAAGUCGUAACAAGGUAGCCGUAGCGGAAGCUGCGGCUG